rnacentral:rRNA from 1 species
AUUGAACGCUGGCGGCAGGCCUAACACAUGCAAGUCGAACGGUAACAGGAAGAAGCUUGCUUCUUUGCUGACGAGUGGCGGACGGGUGAGUAAUGUCUGGGAAACUUCCUGAUGUAGGGGGAUAACUACUGGAAACGGUAGCUAAUACCGCAUAACGUCGCAAGACCAAAGAGGGUGACCUUCUGGCCUCUUGCCAUCGUAUGUGCCCAGAUUGGAUUAGCUAGUAGGUGGGGUAACGUCUCACCUAGGCGACGAUCCCUAGCUGAUCUGAGAGGAUGACCAGCCACAUGGGAACUGAGACACGGUCAAGGAGACUACGGGAGGCAGCAGAGGGGAAUAUUGCACAAUGGGGGCAAACCUGAUGCAGCCAUGCCGCGUGUAUGAAGAAGGCGUUCGGGUUGUAAAGUACUUUCAGCGGGGAGGAAGGGAGUAAAGUUAAUACCUUUACUGAUUGACGUUAACCGCAGAAGAAGCACCGGCUAACUACGUG